ACGCUCGACACCUACGGGAGACAGCAGUAGGGAAUCUUCCACAAUGGACGCAAGUCUGAUGGAGCAACGCCGCGUGAGUGAAGAAGGUCUUCGGAUCGUAAAACUCUGUUGUUAGAGAAGAACACGAGUGAGAGUAACUGUUCAUUCGAUGACGGUAUCUAACCAGCAAGUCACGGCUAACUACGUGCCAACAGCCGCGGUAAUCUGAGCGGGCUGGCAAGGC
rnacentral:rRNA from 1 species